AGAGUUUGAUUAUGGCUCAGAAGCAGGCAUGGCAGCUGCUUUACCUGACAGUCGUACGGCAGCGCGGGCUUCGGCCUGGCGGCGAGUGGCGAACGGGUGAGUAAUGCAUCGGAACGUGCCCAGUAGUGGGGGAUAGCCCGGCGAAAGCCGGAUUAAUACCGCAGACGACCUGAGGGUGAAAGCGGGGGACCGAAAGGCCUCGCGCUAUUGGAGCGGCCGAUGUCGGAUUAGCUAGUUGGUGGGGUAAAGGCUUACCAAGGCGACGAUCCGUAGCUGGUCUGAGAGGACGACCAGCCACACUGGGACUGAGACACGGCCCACACUCCUACGGGAGGCAGCACUGGGGAAUUUUGGACAAUGGGGGCAACCCUGAUCCAGCCAUGCCGCGUGCGGGAAGAAGGCCUUCUGGUUGUAAACCGCUUUUGUUCGGGAAGAAAUCCCCUGGGCUAUACCUCGGGGGGAUGACGGUACCGGAAGAAUAAGCACCGGCGAACUACGUGCCUUCAGCCGCGGUAAUACGUAGGGUGCGAGCGUUAAUCGGAAUUACUGGGCGUAGAGCGUGCGCUCGCAGUUGUGCAAGACUAAUGUGAAAUCCCCUGGCUUAACCUGGCAACUGCAUUUGUGACUGCUCGGCUCCAGUGCGGCAGAUUGGAGUGGAAUUCCGCGUGUAGCAGUGAAAUGCGUAUAUCUGCGGAGGAACACCUAUUGCUAAUGCAGCUCCCUGGGCCUGCACUGACGCUCAUGCACGAUAGCGUGCGGAGCUAACUGGAUUAAAUACCCUGGUACUCCUCGCCCUAGACGAUUUCAACUGCUUGUUGCUCCUUCACUGCAUCAGUCACGUUACUCACGCGUGAAGUUGACUGUCUGCCGAGUACGGGCACGAUGCUAUAACUCACAUGAAUUGACGGGG
rnacentral:rRNA from 1 species